UCUUUGUUGUGAUGAAUCAUAAGGACAUGAUUUGAGUAAUGUUAGUUCUUGAAAAAGGCCUCCUUCCUUGAUUAUAAAUCCCAAACUGAUCAUAAAGGCUGAAUUGAACA
rfam:Triticum aestivum genome assembly, contig: Triticum_aestivum_CS42_TGACv1_scaffold_329293_4BS